AUUGAACGCUGGCGGUAGGCCUAACACAUGCAAGUCGAACGCGAAAGUCCUUCGGGAUGAGUAGAGUGGCGGACGGGUGAGUAACGCGUAGGAAUCUAUCCUGUAGUGGGGGAUAACGUUUCGAAAGGAACGCUAAUACCGCAUACGCCCCAAGGGGGAAAGCGGGGGAUCUUCGGACCUCGUGCUAUAGGAGGAGCCUGUGUCGGAUUAGCUAGUUGGUGAGGUAAAGGCUCACCAAGGCGACGAUCCGUAGCUGGUCUGAGAGGAUGAUCAGCCACACCGGAACUGAGACACGGUUCGGACUCCUACGGGAGGCAGCAGUGGGGAAUAUUGCGCAAUGGGCGAAAGCCUGACGCAGCCAUACCGCGUGUGUGAAGAAGGCCUUCGGGUUGUAAAGCACUUUCAGUGGGGAGGAAAAGCUGGUGGCUAAUAUCCAUCGGCCGUGACGCUACCCACAGAAGAAGCACCGGCUAAUUCCGUGCCAGCCGCCGCCGUAAUAC
rnacentral:rRNA from 1 species